AGGCGUUUGCCAAAAGUCUGUACGAGAUGAAGCCUGCUGAGUCUGUGAACGGAGAGGUGAGCGGCACCACCUCCCACUCGUCCUACGUCCGUAUGAGCAUCUCCAGCGAGAAGGACGGGCCUGGGGGACAAGAGGACGCGUCCAGCAUCAACCCAGACUCCCUGGCCAUGGUCACAGGCCCACUCGGCAACGUCAGGUUCUCUGUGUUCGCCCUGGGCUCCAAGGCCUACCCCCACUACGCCGCCUUCGGCCACUACGUGGACAAGAUGAUGGGUGAGCUGGGAGCAGAGCGGAUCUUCCCGCUGGGAGAUGGAGAUGAGUUGUGCGGUCAGGAGCAGAGUUUUCGGUCCUGGGCUGAGGGGGUGUUUACGGCGGCGUGUGAGACGUUCUGCCUAGGUGAUGACGUCAACAUUAACGAGGCCACGGGCGCCCUCAACAACAGUGACCACAGCUGGUCACCGAACCGGUUCCGCAUCAUGCCGGUUGACAGCAGCAAGGAUCCGGAUAUCUGCGAAGCGCUGUCAGAGGUACACGGAAAGAGAAUCCUGCCGUGUAUCUUGUCGGAGAGAACUCAUCUACAGAGCCAUGAUUCUGACCGACAGACAAUCCUGGCCAAACUGAACACCCAAGGCGCCUCAGAGCUGAUGUACGUGCCUGGAGAUCACGUGGGCAUCUACCCGGCCAACGCCGCGGAGCUAGUGGACGCCAUCUUGGCUCGCCUGCACAACGCCCCGCCCCCUGAUCAGGUCAUCCGCACUGAGUACCUGCACGAGGUGGCCACGCCUCUAGGUGAGUACAUCAUGGGAUGUACGGACAUAGACAUUAAUGUGAGCGACUCCCUGGCGUACGAAGACUGGAAGUACGAGCAGAGUCCCAACAUGCUCGACGUCCUGGACCAGUUCUCCUCCCUCAAAGUGUCUCCCUCCCUCCUGCUGACCCAGCUGCCCCUGCUGCAACAGCGCUACUACAGCAUCAGCAGCUCGCCACAGAUGUUCCCGGGAGAGAUCCACGCCACCAUCGCUGUCGUCAAGUUCCGCACUCAGAGUCAGUGAUUUGUCUACGACGAGUCCAAGAAGCCGUUCGGUGAGAUGAUCAUGUACUUCGGCUGCCGGAACUCCACCCAGGACAAUAUCUACCGCUCAGACCUGGAGGAGAUGAAGACUUCCGGUGUGUUGUCCGACUACCACGUGGCGCUGUCCAGGGAGAUGAACAUGCCCAAGGU
rnacentral:sRNA from 1 species